CAGGCCUAACACAUGCAAGUCGACCGAUGAAGCCCAGCUUGCUGGGUGGAUUAGUGGCGAACGGGUGAGUAACACGUGAGUAACCUGCCCUUAACUCUGGGAUAAGCCUGGGAAACUGGGUCUAAUACCGGAUAGGAGCGCCUACCGCAUGGUGGGUGUUGGAAAGAUUUAUCGGUUUUGGAUGGACUCGCGGCCUAUCAGCUUGUUGGUGAGGUAAUGGCUCACCAAGGCGACGACGGGUAGCCGGCCUGAGAGGGUGACCGGCCACACUGGGACUGAGACACGGCCCAGACUUCCUACGGGAGGCAGCAGUGGGGAAUAUUGCACAAUGGGCGCAAGCCUGAUGCAGCGACGCCGCGUGAGGGAUGACGGCUUCGGGUUGUAAACCUCUUUCAGUAGGUAAGAAGC
rnacentral:rRNA from 1 species